rfam:Strongyloides ratti strain ED321 Heterogonic genome assembly, scaffold: srae_scaffold0000001
UCUCUGGUAGUAUAGUGGUGAGUAUCCGCGCCUGUCACGUGCGAGACCGGGGUUCGAUUCCCCGCCAGAGAG